GACGAACGCUGGCGGCGUGCCUAAUACAUGCAAGUAGAACGCUGAAGGAGGAGCUUGCUUCUCUGGAUGAGUUGCGAACGGGUGAGUAACGCGUAGGUAACCUGCCUGGUAGCGGGGGAUAACUAUUGGAAACGAUAGCUAAUACCGCAUAAGAGUAGAUGUUGCAUGACAUUUGCUUAAAAGGUGCAAUUGCAUCACUACCAGAUGGACCUGCGUUGUAUUAGCUAGUUGGUGAGGUAACGGCUCACCAAGGCGACGAUACAUAGCCGACCUGAGAGGGGGAUCGGCCACACUGGGACUGAGACACGGCCCAGACUCCUACGGGAGGCAGCAGUAGGGAAACUUCGGCAAUGGACGGAAGUCUGACCGAGCAACGCCGCGUGAGUGAAGAAGGGUGUCGGAUCGUAAAGCUCUGUUGUAAGAGAAGAACGAGUGUGAGAGUGGAAAGUUCACACUGUGACGGUAUCUUACCAGAAAGGGACGGCUAACUACGUG
rnacentral:rRNA from 1 species